rnacentral:rRNA from 1 species
UGCAGUCGAACGGUAGCACAGAGAGCUUGCUCUCGGGUGACGAGUGGCGGACGGGUGAGUAAUGUCUGGGAAACUGCCUGAUGGAGGGGGAUAACUACUGGAAACGGUAGCUAAUACCGCAUAACGUCGCAAGACCAAAGAGGGGGACCUUCGGGCCUCUUGCCAUCAGAUGUGCCCAGAUGGGAUUAGCUAGUAGGUGGGGUAACGGCUCACCUAGGCGACGAUCCCUAGCUGGUCUGAGAGGAUGACCAGCCACACUGGAACUGAGACACGGUCCAGACUCCUACGGGAGGCAGCAGUGGGGAAUAUUGCACAAUGGGCGCAAGCCUGAUGCAGCCAUGCCGCGUGUAUGAAGAAGGCCUUCGGGUUGUAAAGUACUUUCAGCGGGGAGGAAGGGAGUAAGGUUAAUAACCUUGCUCAUUGACGUUACCCGCAGAAGAAGCACCGGCUAACUCCGUGCCAGCAGCCGCGGUAAUACGGAGGGUGCAAGCGUUAAUCGGAAUUACUGGGCGUAAAGCGCACGCAGGCGGUCUGUCAAGUCGGAUGUGAAAUCCCCGGGCUCAACCUGGGAACUGCAUCCGAAACUGGCAGGCUUGAGUCUCGUAGAGGGAGGUAGAAUUCCAGGUGUAGCGGUGAAAUGCGUAGAGAUCUGGAGGAAUACCGGUGGCGAAGGCGGCCUCCUGG